CUUGGUCAUUUAGAGGAAGUAAAAGUCGUAACAAGGUCUCCGUUGGUGAACCAGCGGAGGGAUCAUUACCGAGUUUACAACUCCCAAACCCCUGUGAACAUACCUUAAUGUUGCCUCGGCGGAUCAGCCCGCGCCCCGUAAAACGGGACGGCCCGCCAGAGGACCCAAACUCUAAUGUUUCUUAUUGUAACUUCUGAGUAAAACAAACAAAUAAAUCAAAACUUUCAACAACGGAUCUCUUGGUUCUGGCAUCGAUGAAGAACGCAGCAAAAUGCGAUAAGUAAUGUGAAUUGCAGAAUUCAGUGAAUCAUCGAAUCUUUGAACGCACAUUGCGCCCGCUGGUAUUCCGGCGGGCAUGCCUGUUCGAGCGUCAUUUCAACCCUCAAGCCCCCGGGUUUGGUGUUGGGGAUCGGCUCUGCCCUUCUGGGCGGUGCCGCCCCCGAAAUACAUUGGCGGUCUCGCUGCAGCCUCCAUUGCGUAGUAGCUAACACCUCGCAACUGGAACGCGGCGCGGCCAUGCCGUAAAACCCCAACUUCUGAAUGUUGACCUCGGAUCAGGUAGGAAUACCCGCUGAACUUAAGCAUAUCAAUAAGCGGAGGAA
rnacentral:rRNA from 1 species